rnacentral:misc_RNA from 1 species
UUUCCGUAGGUGAACCUGCGGAAGGAUCAUUCAUAAUAAAGUGUUUUAUGGCACUUUUUAAAUAUCCAUAUCCACCUUGUGUGCAAUGUUAGAUCUCGUCAAUCUUGGCGAGAUUUUUAUACAUCAACUCAUUCUUUAACUAAUUUGUCUGAAAAAUAUUAUGAAUACUUAAUUCAAAAUACAACUUUCAACAACGGAUCUCUUGGCUCUC